CGCACCUUGCGCCCCUCGGCAUUCCGAGGGGCAUGCCUGUUUGAGUGUCGCGUGAAUCCUCAACCCCCUCCGAAACUCGUUUCGGGGCGGGGCUGGACUUGGACCGUGCUGCGGAAACGCGGCUCGUCUUGAAAUUCAUCGGCCUGGCUAAGCGUUCGGGUAACCCUUGGUGUGAUAAUGUCAUCGCCAGUCGGGGGCCGAGCCUGCCGGGCCUUACCGCCCUUCCCGGGGCAAAUUCAUCUUGCGCUCUGACCUCAAAUCAGGUAGGACUACCCGCUGAACUUAA
rnacentral:misc_RNA from 1 species